GAUCUAUAUAAAACUGGGAUUCUCACUAACGAGCAUCUCCCUGAGUGUGCUUUCAUGGCCACAAUACAUUUCCUCAUAGUCUGCCUGCGAUGAAGGUGCCUGGGCACUCACCAGUCGGUCUAGGGUGAACUGAUCUCCUGCAGCUGGGACAAACAGAAGGCACUGGGAGCUGAAGGCUGUCUUUUCACCAUACUCUGUGUUUGGACAGCAAAUCCUUCCGAGAAGAGCAAUCCUGUUUGACAGGGUGCCCUGGUUUUCCAUACUGAACAUCUCAUCCAGUCACCUAGCAUGUCUGCUGAUGGUCACACGUCAGCUUCAUUGCCAAGCCACACACUAAACGACUUCUACUUUUCAGUUAAGAUGUUGAUCUGAGGUCACCCAGGAGGCCAGGAAGGGCAUUAUGUCUCUCUCCCUAUGUUCCAGUUCAGUCUUUUUCUUUGGUUUUUGGUUAUCGGAGAAAGUAUUUUUCUACACACUAAGUAUGGUCUGUUAGUAAUAAAUCAGUUUCUUCAUUCUCUGGA